rnacentral:rRNA from 1 species
ACAGGUGCUGCAUGGCUGUCGUCAGCUCGUGCCGUGAGGUGUUGGGUUAAGUCCCGCAACGAGCGCAACCCUUAUCCUUUGUUGCCAUCGGGUAAUGCCGGGCACUCUAAGGAAACUGCCGGCGAUGAGCUGGAGGAAGGUGGGGACGACGUCAAGUCAUCAUGGCCCUUACGUCCAGGGCUACACACGUGCUACAAUGGCUGCUACAGAGGGCUGCAAGACCGCGAGGUGGAGCCAAUCCCUAAAAGUAGUCUCAGUUGGGAUCAGAGUCUGCAACUCGACUCUGUGAACGUGGAAUCGCUAGUAAUCGCAGAUCAGCUACGCUGCGGUGAAUACGUUCCCGGGCCUUGUACACACCGCCCGUCACACCACGAAAGUCUGUUGAACCCGAAGCAGGUGAGCCAACCUGCAAAGGAGGCAGCUCACGAAGGUAUGGUAGGCGAUUGGGGUGAAGUCGUAACAAGGUAACC